rnacentral:rRNA from 1 species
GUCGUCUCGGGAUGAUGGGGACACUGUUGGGACCGCCUCUGCUAAAGAGGAGGAAGGAAUGGGCAACGGUAGGUCAGCAUGCCCCGAAUUAUCCGGGCUACACGCGGGCUACAAUGGUCAGGACAAUGGGUAUCGACACCGAGAGGUGGAGGCAAUCUCCUAAACCUGUCCUUAGUUCGGAUUGUGGGCUGCAACUCGCCCACAUGAAGCUGGAAUCCGUAGUAAUCGCGUUUCAGAAUAGCGCGGUGAAUAUGUCCCUGCUCCUU